rnacentral:rRNA from 1 species
GGGGAAUAUUGGGCAAUGGACGCAAGUCUGACCCAGCAACGCCGCGUGAAGGAAGAAGGCUUUCGGGGUUGAAACUUCCUUUUAAGGGGGAAGGGAGAAGACGGGUACCCUUGAAUAAGCCACGGCUAACUUCGGUGCAGCAGCCGCGGUAAUACGUAGGGGGCGAGCGUUGCCCGGAAUUACUGGGCGUAAAGGGAACGUAGGUGGCUCUUAAAGUCAGGUGUGAAAAUAACGAAGCUUAACAGGUUAAUGCGCUUGAAACUAAAGGGCUUGAGGGCAAUAGAGGGAGAUGGAAUUACCUGUGUAGGGGUGAAAUCCGCAGAUAUAGGUAAGAAGGCCGGUGGGGAAGCCGAUCUCCUGGGUUGACUCUGACACUGAGGUUCGAAAGCUAGGGGAGCAAACC